UGCCAGCAGCCGCGGUAAUACGGAGGGUCCGAGCGUUGUCCGGAAUUAUUGGGUUUAAAGGGUGCGUAGGCGGUCCGAUAAGUCAGAGGUGAAAUCUCAAGGCUCAACCUUGAAACUGCCUUUGAAACUGUUGGACUUGAAUUUACUAGGGGUAAGCGGAAUUUAUGAUGUAGCGGUGAAAUGCAUAGAUAUCAUAAAGAACACCGAUAGCGAAGGCAGCUUACUGGAGUAUUAUUGACGCUGAGGCACGAAAGCGUGGGUAGCGAACGGGAUUAGAUA
rnacentral:rRNA from 1 species